rnacentral:rRNA from 1 species
GGCGGUUCUAACAGGGCCGCCCCCUGACGGUACCUCACCAGAAAGCCCCGGCUAACUACGUGCCAGCAGCCGCGGUAAUACGUAGGGGGCAAGCGUUGUCCGGGAAUAUUGGGCGUAAAAGCGCGCGCAGGCGGUUCUUUAAGUCUGAUGUGAAAGCCCACGGCUCAACCGUGGAGGGUCAUUGGAAACUGGAGAACUGGAAUGCAGAAGAGGAGAGUGGAAUUCCACGUGUAGCGGUGAAAUGCGUAGAUAUGUGGAGGAACACCAGUGGCGAAGGCGGCUCUCUGGUCUGUUAUUGACGCUGAGGCGCGAAAGCGUGGGGAGCAAACAGGAUUAGAUACCCUGGUAGUCCACGCCGUAAACGAUGAGUGCUAGGUGUUAGGGGUUUCGAUGCCCUUAGUGCCGAAGCUAACGCAUUAAGCACUCCGCCUGGGGAGUACGGCCGCAAGGCUGAAACUCAAAAGAAUUGACGGGGGCCCGCACAAGCGGUGGAGCAUGUGGUUUAAUUCGACGCAACGCGAAGAACCUUACCAGGUCUUGACAUCUUUUGCUACUUCUGGAGACAGAAGGUUCCCCUUCGGGGGACAAAAUGACAGGUGGUGCAUGGUUGUCGUCAGCUCGUGUCGUGAGAUGUUGGGUUAAGUCCCGCAACGAGCGCAACCCUUAAUCUUAGUUGCCAGCAUUCAGUUGGGCACUCUAAGGUGACUGCCGGUGACAAACCGGAGGAAGGUGGGGACGACGUCAAAUCAUCAUGCCCCUUAUGACCUGGGCUACACACGUGCUACAAUGGAUGGUACAGAGGGAUGCGAAACCGCGAGGUGGAGCCAAUCUCGCAAAGCCAUUCUCAGUUCGGAUUGCAGGCUGCAACUCGCCUGCAUGAAGCCGGAAUCGCUAGUAAUCGUGGAUCAGCAUGCCACGGUGAAUACGUUCCCGGG